GCAGACACAUUCCAGCCAAUAAGCAGCAGACCCUCCCUCCCAGACCCUCCCACCUCCUGGACAGCAUCCAUUUUACAUUCAUUGUGAAGCUGCAUUCUUAGUGAGCUGUCCAGGAGGUGGGAGGGUCUGGGAGGGAGGGUCUGCUGCUGAUUGGCUGGAAUGUGUCUG